GGUUGCUAUGGCGACAGAUGCUUGGCUGAGCCAGCCAGCAUUCUGAUUGGUUGCUGCCUCGGGCUUGGCAGAGGCAGACCAACUGUUUUUCUAACUGACAUUAUAAUUCAUAUUUUUUUUCCCUUCUGGAGAGUGGAGAAAAGACGCUGACAGGAAUUUUUGGUCAGGAAUGUAAUGGCUGUCGUGCUCUCCAAAGUUUGACUAUUUAAAGAAGAGAUGGUAAAGUGAGCUGUGCAAUGGGUUAAACCCUUGUGCCGGCUGGACUGCUGACCUGAAGGUUGAGUUGCUGACCUGAAAAUUGCUGGCUGGAAUCCGCAAGAUGGGGCGAGCUCCCAUCUGUCAGCUCUAGCUUGCGGGCACAUGAGAGAAGCCUCCCAGCAGCUACAGUGAAGACCACAAUGAAAUACCGAAGUGGAUAACCCAAGGAAGAGCAGAUAGUGCCAUCAACCCUGCUAAGAAAAAUCUCCUGAUGCUGCUAAUCAUUGGUUCCUCUAUAUUAGUCUCAGUUGGUGAUUCUGAGAACAGCGUUUGCUGCACCUCAGUCCAAUCUUCUUGGCCAAUCCAGCCAAACUAGAAUUUGAGAAAUGAGAUUGAUUUGGGAACAGAACAGUGUGCUUGUUAAAUUGAAGAGGAUUCUAUCAUAGCUGGAGUUGUAUAUGACCAGCAAGAAAGGGAGCUGCUGCUGUUAGCAAAAAUACACAGAACUUGGAAAUUUUAUAUUUUUCAGCUACAAUUCUGGAGAAUUUGGAAAGUCAUAGUCCAAAACUGCAGCACUUCAGAGGUCUGUGAAAAUAUGCUGCCCAAUCUAGUCAACCAGGAAGAAAUCUGCUGCAGGCCCUUAUCAAUAAGUAGUUUUUAAAACAUGACUGCAUCAUCAACAUUUCAGUGUUUGAAAUGGUUUUAGUGCUAUCUCAUCUUAACCUUGUUGUAAACAAACUUGUCAUAAGAAAGGCGGGAUAUAAAUUAAUUAAAUAAGAAAAAUAAAAUAAACAAAAAACUGAUAAACAAAAGCAUAUUGAGGGUGACCAAAAUCUAAAGAAAACAUGAGGGAUUUUGUAUUCUUUUGCUUACCUGUGCAUUUUCUUCAUCACUUGGGAUGCUAUCUGUAGUUUCACUUUCUGUGGGGCACAAGGAAAACAGAAAUAUGAAUAUGCCGAACAUUAAAAUCAAUACCUUCUUUGAACCAGACAGCUGCCUCAAGUAUUGGGGUGGGGCAGAAGCCGGCUAUGCUUCCCUGCAUAUACACACACAUACACACAAAUAGAUGUGCCUACAGGAGUGAACAUGUUUCAGCAUGUAAGUGUGGCGAGGCUUAAGCCUUAUUUAUCUAGCUGCCCACUGACUGCAAGCAAUCAUUGGGUUUCUGGCUGAGAUCACUUUUCUAGUGAUCUCUGCCACUCAGACUACUGUUUGAAAACACCUAAAGGUGCAUCUACAUGGAAGAAUUAAUGCAGCUUGACACUAUUUUAACUGCCAUGGAAUCAGGGGAUUGUGGUUUUACUGGGCCUUUUGCUUUCUCUGCCGAAGAGCACAGAUGCAUUGCCAAACUAAAACUCCUAGAAUUCCACAGCAUUGAGCCAUGGCAGUUAAAGUGGUGUCAACCUACAUUAAUCUAGAGCAGUAUUUCUCAACCUGGGGGUCAGGACCCCUGGGGGGAGGAUUGUGCAGGGGGUUUCAGGAAUCACCAAAGUGUGGCAAGUUUACUAGUUCCAUCACCAGUUUGGUACAGGGUACUCUCUGAGUAUUGGUGAACUACAACUCCCAGAAUUCAAAAACAGCCUCCCCCCAACCCCACCAGUAUUCAAUGUUGGUCAUGUAGGUAGUGUGCCAAGUUUGGCGCAGAUCCAUUGUAGGCUGCUCUUUGAUUGUAGGUUAACUAUAAAACCCAGCAACUACAACUUCCAAAUGACAAAAUCAAUACCUCCCAACCCCACCAAUAUUCAAAUUUUGGCAUAUCAAGUAUUUAUUUGUGCCAAAUUUGGUCUACAUCCAUUGUCGUUUGGGAUAUAGGUGACCUACAUCUCCCCUAAAUCACUGUCAAUUCCUCCCAAAUCUCUCUGGUAUAUUUUGCUGGUCAUGGGGGUUCUGUAUGGGAAGUUUGGUCCAAUUCUAUCGUUGGUGGGG